CGGACGGGUGAGUAAUGUCUGGGAAACUGCCUGAUGGAGGGGGAUAACUACUGGAAACGGUAGCUAAUACCGCAUAACGUCUUCGGACCAAAGUGGGGGACCUUCGGGCCUCACGCCAUCGGAUGUGCCCAGAUGGGAUUAGCUAGUAGGUGGGGUAAUGGCCCACCUAGGCGACGAUCCCUAGCUGGUCUGAGAGGAUGACCAGCCACACUGGAACUGAGACACGGUCCAG
rnacentral:rRNA from 1 species